rnacentral:rRNA from 1 species
AGAACGAACGCUGGCGGCAGGCUUAACACAUGCAAGUCGAGCGCUCCUUUCGGGGAGAGCGGCGGACGGGCGAGUAACGCGUGGGAACGUGCCUUUUGCUACGGAAUAGCCCAGGGAAACUUGGAUUAAUGCCGUAUGUGCCCUUCGGGGGAAAGAUUUAUCGGCAAAGGGUCGGCCCGCGUCUGAUUAGGUAGUUGGUGGGGUAACGGCCUACCAAGCCGACGAUCAGUAGCUGGUUUGAGAGGAUGAUCAGCCACACUGGGACUGAGACACGGCCCAGACUCCUACGGGAGGCAGCAGUGGGGAAUCUUGGACAAUGGGGGCAACCCUGAUCCAGCCAUGCCGCGUGAACGAUGAAGGCCUUAGGGUGUAAAGUUCUUUCAGCGGGGAAGAUAAUGACGGUACCGCAGAAGAAGCCCCUGCUAACUCCGUGCCAGCAGUCGC